UGAGACCCAUGUGAGCAUGUGUUUAGUCCUACAUCGGUUAUUCGCCGGAAAGAUUUUGGAUACUUAUACAUGACUAAGAAAUUUAAAAAAUACCUUUUGGUUAGCUAUUUUAGGUGAGGUCCUGUGUUGUUACAAAUAGUAUCAGAACAGAUCCAGCCCAUGGCUUAUAUGGACUAGGAGACAUUGCAACAUGGACUUAUUGAGGCUGACCAUGAGCCGAUCGUGGUGUUUGUGAUUAGAUUUGAAUGGAUUUAGAUCUCUAUCAUGAUGUGGACUUCAAGUCUUAAACGGGGGCAGUAUGUGAGGACCCAUGCGAGCGUGUAUUUAGUCUCACAUCGAUUAUUCGCUGGAAGGAUCUUGGGCACUUAUACAGGACUAAGGAAUCCAAAAAAUACCUUUUGGCUAGCCAUUUUGAGUGAUGUCCUGGAUUGUUAUAGUUGUAGCCAUCAAAUUCAGGAGAAUAUGCAAAAUUACAAAGUAUAACGUUUUGCACGGUAUACAAUGGCAUCCAGAUGAUGAAUUUAUGCAUUAUAUUUGUCGAUGUAAUUUGUUGAUUAUAUAUUUUUAAAUUUAUUUUUGUCAAGAAAUUAACAUAUUGCUUGUUGCAGCUU
rnacentral:lncRNA from 1 species